rnacentral:tRNA from 1 species
GCCGGGAUAGCUCAGUUGGUGAAGCAGAGGACUGAAAAUCCUC